ACGGGAGGCGGCAGUGGGGGAUAUUGCACAAUGGGGGAAACCCUGAUGCAGCGACGCCGCGUGAGUGAUGAAGUAUUUCGGUAUGUAAAGCUCUAUCAGCAGGGAAGAAAAUGACGGUACCUGACUAAGAAGCACCGGCUAAAUACGUGCCAGCAGCCGCGGUAGUACGUAUGGUACAAGCGUUAUCCGGAUUUACCGGGUGUAAAGGGAGCGUAGACGGCAUAGCAAGCCAGAUGUGAAAGGUGGGGGCUCAACCCCCAAGCUGCAUUUGGAACUGUUAAGCUAGAGUAUCGGAGAGGUAAGUGGAAUUCCUAGUGUAGCGGUGAAAUGCGUAGAUAUUAGGAGGAACACCAGUGGCGAAGGCGGCUUACUGGACGAUAACUGACGUUGAGGCUCGAAAGCGUGGGGAGCAAACAGGAUUAGAUACCCUGGUA
rnacentral:rRNA from 1 species